CACUUAGCGGCGUUGAGAGAUUGUAUGUUUUAGCAACAGUUGUGUGUGGUAAAUUUCAAGUCUGUAGGAAACCUAAAGUACGCGAAGAUGGCUGAGUAUCUGGCCUCAAUUUUCGGCACGGAGAAGGACAAAGUAAAUUGUUCCUUCUACUUUAAGAUCGGAGCGUGUCGUCAUGGGGAUCGCUGCUCACGAAUCCACAACAAGCCGACAUUUUCGCAGACUAUUCUUUUGCAGAAUCUCUAUCAUAAUCCGCAAAACACCGCGCAAACGGCUGACGGCUCACAUACGAAUAUGACAGAGGAGGAAAUGCAGGAACACUUCGACAACUUUUUUGAGGAUGUCUUCGUUGAACUGGAAGACAAAUACGGCGAGAUCGAAGAGAUGAACGUCUGCGAUAACCUUGGAGAUCAUUUGGUCGGCAAUGUCUAUGUGAAGUUUCGGCGUGAAGAUGACGCUGAGAAGGCAGUACGAGAACUAAACAACCGCUGGUUCGCCGGGAGACCUGUUGUAGCUGAAUUGUCGCCUGUAACGGACUUCCGUGAGGCCUGUUGCCGUCAGUACGAGAUGGGCUCUCGACAGCUGAGCGAUCUCUCCAUCCGUCGGAGCGCCAGCGUGCGUCCGUUGACGCGAGGCUGUCGCGCUGGGCGCGUCCUCUCCAGACCUCAAACACACUCACUCAACUCGAGACGUUUCGUUUUAAGCAGGGCCCAUAUUUCUCGACUUAUGUCUUUUCCAGCAACUAACGUUAACUGCAGCAAGAAUAGCAGCAGAUCCAGUAUUACGACCACUUCCAGAAAAAUAUAUAUGAGUAAUUGCCUCCGUUUAGCCGCAUUCUCGCCUUUAACAAUAGAAGACACACUCUAACCACCUCCACCCUUCCCCGAUAGAUGGAGAUUGUAUUAAUUUUCAGCAAAAAGCCAACACGUAUGACGAAACGACGAGCGAAACCAGGAUCUGGUCUGUGUUUCUGGCUCGUGUCGCACAGAAUGAGUAGCCUCUAUAAUUUACCAUGCCAUGUUACCUUAAGUUAUUUUCGUAUUCUUGUUAUUCUUAUUGCUAACGAAGCCGUUUGUGUUAAAGCAGCGAAGUACUCGCGCCACACGAGCUCUCAGUUCAGAAAACUGAUAGCUGGCAGUCUUUAGUUGAUAAAGUAGUUUUGUAGACCACCGAAAUUACUUGCUGUCGAAAAUCAAAAUCAGAAACAUUCCUAAUUAUAAUUAGAACAUUGCUCCCCUUUCCCCCACUUCUUGUUUUUAGCAACGACAGAAACAGGUUUGAGCGCAUCUUUGUAGUCCUCUCGUGUUUGCAGGGAGUUUGACAACCUUUUCAGGGUUUCGUUCCUUUCAGGCUAUAAUGGAGUGGGCGAUAGUAAGCGUCCGUCCGAUUUGUGUUUACAGAUCGCGAGGCAUUCAGGUUUUUUUUCUGUUCCCACAGGGUUUUUGUCUAUCUCUAUUUCAGCAGAAAAGCGGGAAACGAGAAAUACGUUCUUUUAGGUACAGACGAACAUACCAAAUUGACCUGAAGGACGGCGAUAUAUAUGUUCACGAUGUAAUAGGUUGAAUCGUUACAGUUUACAGAUAGCGACGACAGCAGCAUGCAUUUGGAGGCAAUAUGUUUCGGUAGGCGGGCUAAGGGAUCAGUUUCACUAACAACAUUAGCGUGUUGUUUAAACUGGAUACAAAGGGCGCGUUCAGCAUGAUACACAGGGGGUAACUGUAUGCCAGUGUCGACCCAGCGGAUUACAACUGGGAUACGUCUGAGAUGUAGAAAAAACUGUCUUCUAGAUGCAAAUGUGGAGAAAGUAUGUGUCUGUGCGUCUGAAUGUGUCUGUGUGUGUGUGUGUGUAUCCAGCGAACAACAUAAAAAUGGACCGAUAAACGGAAGAGAUGCAGUAAAUGUAAGCUUGCAUGUUGGGGGGGGGGGGGGGGGGGGGGGGUGAAGUAAAUCACCUUGUGACCGUAACAUGGUUGGUGGGAUGGUGUCAGUAGUCACUUGUCAUCGAUUACGCUUUAUAGAACUUAACGCAGGGCAAACACGGUGUGCGAGCCGAAGCACCUCGUCGUCAUCAACUUGUCUCAUUAGUAUGGUAUAAUUUUGUUCUAGUAUAAUAUAGCUGAGUAGAGCACUUUAUCGAUAAAAAUCCGUUUGUAUCAAACUAGAUAGCUUUGUGAUGAUAACUCUGAUGUGCCUAUCACGUGGCUACAUUUGCCUGCACAUUUGCGACCAUGUAUGUGUCGAUAUUAUAAGUAUCCAUAAACAUUUGCUUGAUACGGCAUGUAUCCGCCCAUAAGUGGACCCUGCAAGAUAUUUUCUUUUAACAGAGUCUUUUGAGUUAACAGUUUACAGUUACAGAGUUACAGUAUUAUUGUUGGCAUGUCAUUGAUCGCCUCUGUCGCUCUGUCUAUCUAUCUUUUACUUUCUCCAUUUUUGCCGCCUGCCAAAAAGAUUUUCAUUCAAACGAAGGACAGUUCUGGGUAUCAGGGGGGAGGGUUGGGGGGUGUUGUUUAAAGAGUUUCAGUCUAAGUCGCCUAGUCCCUUUCAGCUAGAUGCAACUCCGAGGAAGGCCGACCGAGGCAUCUCUAAUAAGUUCAGCCUAUCUCUGUUGGUUUAAGCUUGAAAGCAAAUGGCGUGCGGAAACGAGGGGCCGGCGUGAUGUCCGAGGAGUGCACUCGUUCGGGAUUCUGCAACUUCAUGCACCUGCGACCGAUUUCG